ACGCACGCUGGCGGCGUGCUUCACACAUGCAAGUCGAACGGAAAGGCCCUGCUUUUGUGGGGUGCUCGAGUGGCGAACAGGUGAGUAACACGUGAGUAACCUGCCCUUGACUUUGGGAUAACUUCAGGAAACUGGGGCUAAUACCGGAUAGGAGCUCCUGCUGCAUGGUGGGGGUUGGAAAGUUUCGGCGGUUGGGGAUGGACUCGCGGCUUAUCAGCUUGUUGGUGGGGUAGUGGCUUACCAAGGCUUUGACGGGUAGCCGGCCUGAGAGGGUGACCGGCCACAUUGGGACUGAGAUACGGCCCAGACUCCUACGGGAGGCAGCAGUGGGGAAUAUUGCACAAUGGGCGGAAGCCUGAUGCAGCAACGCCGCGUGCGGGAUGACGGCCUUCGGGUUGUAAACCGCUUUCGCCUGUGACGAAGCGUGAGUGACGGUAAUGGGUAAAGAAGCACCGGCUAACUACGUG
rnacentral:rRNA from 1 species